rnacentral:rRNA from 1 species
UACGUAGGGGGCAAGCGUUGUCCGGAUUCAUUGGGCGUAAAGAGCGUGUAGGCGGCCAGGUAGGUCGGUUGUGAAAACUGGAGGCUCAACCUUCAGAGGUCGACCGAAACCAUCUGGCUAGAGUCCGGGAGAGGAGAGUGGAAUUCCUGGUGUAGCGGUGAAAUGCGCAGAUAUCAGGAAGAACACCCGUGGCGAAAGCGGCUCUCUGGAACGGUACUGACGCUGAGACGCGAAAAGCGUGGGGAGCGAACAGGG